UUGAACGCUGGCGGCAGGCCUAACACAUGCAAGUCGAACGGUAACAGAAAGCAGCUUGCUGCUUUGCUGACGAGUGGCGGACGGGUGAGUAAUGUCUGGGAAACUGCCUGAUGGAGGGGGAUAACUACUGGAAACGGUAGCUAAUACCGCAUAACGUCGCAAGACCAAAGAGGGGGACCUUCGGGCCUCUUGCCAUCGGAUGUGCCCAGAUGGGAUUAGCUUGUUGGUGGGGUAACGGCUCACCAAGGCGACGAUCCCUAGCUGGUCUGAGAGGAUGACCAGCCACACUGGAACUGAGACACGGUCCAGACUCCUACGGGAGGCAGCAGUGGGGAAUAUUGCACAAUGGGCGCAAGCCUGAUGCAGCCAUGCCGCGUGUAUGAAGAAGGCCUUUGGGUUGUAAAGUACUUUCAGCGGGGAGGAAGGGAGUAAAGUUAAUACCUUUGCUCAUUGACGUUACCCGCAGAAGAAGCACCGGCUAACUCCGUG
rnacentral:rRNA from 1 species